ACUCCUACGGGAGGCAGCAGUGGGGAAUAUUGCACAAUGGGCGCAAGCCUGAUGCAGCAACGCCGUGUGAGUGAAGAAGGUUUUCGGAUCGUAAAACUCUGUCCUAAGGGAAGAAACAAAUGACGGUACCUUAGGAGGAACGCCCCGGCUAACUACGUGCCAGCAGCCGCGGUAAUACGUAGGGGGCAAGCGUUAUCCGGAAUCACUGGGCGUAAAGGGUGCGUAGGCGGCUUAGCAAGCCAGGGGUGAAAGGCAUUGGCUCAACCAAUGUAAGCCUUUGGAACUGUUAAGCUUGAGUGCAGGAGAGGUAAGUGGAAUUCCUAGUGUAGAGGUGAAAUUCGUAGAUAUUAGGAGGAACACCAGUA
rnacentral:rRNA from 1 species